UUUUAUUCCAUUGGAUAUUCUUUCCUGCUUUGUGAAAGCCCAUCCCUAGCUUCUUUGGAAACAUGCUGCUGUUCCCUUUUGCCCUCCUCGUGGGAUGAACACACCAGCAGGGAGUUUGCGCACAAACUUUCCUGUGUCCGUAUGUUGGCGGACCCAACAGUGAUGGAACUUCAGGGCCAAUGGAGGACCGACCACUCCUACCGUGGGAACAGCUGACCUCCCGCUUCAGAUGCUGGAUGUGAAGCUGGUGGGUAAUCAUGGCGCCAAAGUGAGACCUAGGGAUGCCCGGCCACCGCCACGGGGGAGUGGUUUCUCCCACUGUUUGGUCUUCAGAGCUCGUUAAACUCUU